GAUGAAAACGCAGCGAAAUGCGAUACUUGGUGUGAAUUGCAGAAUCCCGUGAACCAUCGAGUCUUUGAACGCAAGUUGCGCCCGAAGCCAUUAGGCCGAGGGCACGCCUGCCUGGGCGUCACACGUCGUUGCCCCCCCAUCUACUCCUUCGGGAUUGCGGGGGGCGGAUGAUGGCCUCUCGUGCGCCUCGUCGCGCGGUUGGCCUAAAUGCCAAGUCCUCGGCGACGCACGCCACGACAAUCGGUGGUUGCGAAACCUCGGUUGCCUGUCGUGUGCGGUCGUCGCGCAUCGAGGGCUCGAAAAAAUUGCCGGGCUUCGGCUCGACUUUCAACGCGACCCCAGGUCAGGCGGGGUUACCCGCUGAAUUUAAGCAUAUCAAUAAGCGGAGGA
rnacentral:misc_RNA from 1 species